AUACUUACUUCAGUUCCAAUAUGAGUCUAGUGGCAGACCUCCGCAGCUGUCUGAUUCAGUAGCUUCACUGAACAACCCUCAGUAUUGCAGAAUUUUGUCAUUUGGUUUACUUGACUUCAAUCAGCCAUGCCUUCCCCAGCACUUAACUAUAAUACCGGAUGCUUGACAGCCCUACCACCUCUGAAAUCAGUUCUGGUAUCCAUCCCCCUGGACCCACCUCUUCUUGCCUGACCUGUACUUAACCAGAAGAGUCACCAUCUUGGAGCAGUCACCUUUUGCCUUUUUUGAUCAUGUUUAGAACUCACGUUUAUUUUCAGUUAUACAGGGUUGUCCUUG